rnacentral:misc_RNA from 1 species
GAAAUGCGAUAAGUAAUGUGAAUUGCAGAAUUCAGUGAAUCAUCGAAUCUUUGAACGCACCUUGCGCUCCUUGGUAUUCCGAGGAGCAUGCCUGUUUGAGUGUCAUGGAAUUCUCAACUCUAUUUGCUUUUGUGAAUAGAGCUUGGUUUUGGAGGUUUAUUGCUGGUACUUGUGAUCGGCUCCUCUUGAAUGCAUUAGCUCGAACCUUUGCGGAUCAGCUAUCGGUGUGAUAAUUGUCUACGCCGUUGCAGUGAAGCAUAUCAAUGGGCUCGGCUUCCAAUCGUCCUUUACUGGACAAUGACUUUGACCUUUGACCUCAAAUCAGGUAGGAUUACCCGCUGAACUUAAGC